CCCUGUCGUCUGAGUUUUGUCUAACGUUAUUUAUUUAUUGUAAAGUUAUAGAGAAUGGAGUGGACCCAACACAGCCAACCACUCCUCUGUCUGAAGGUGAACUGAGCACAAGUGCUACAGGUAGCCGUAGCAGCACACCAUUUGAGGCUGACGACGAUGAUGGUAUGGAGAAUGGAGCAGGUUACCCUGCUACACAGCCAUCCACCUCCACAGCGCCUGUUCGGGGUAUGCCAAGACUCAGAAGGCCUUGGGGCAGUGUUGGACUUACUCAGCAUCAAGACUUCCUAGAAAGGAUGCAGCAGACACAAAACCAGUGGCUGGAGCAGCAAAGAGAGCAGAGCCAUGCCAGGGAUGAGGCUCUCAUAUCCCGACUACUUGCUGAAAGUACCCGCUCAACAGGAAUUUUAGUCAACCAACUUCUCACAGGGUUAAGUAGCUUCCUGCCCCAGCCCACUCUACAGCCACA